rnacentral:tRNA from 1 species
CAGCCUGUAGCUUAGUCUGGCGAAAGCGCCGGUCUGGGGGACCGGAGACCGCCCGUUCAAAUCGGGCCAGGCUGACCA